UGAAUAUAUAAAUGGCUCGGAUAAACAUGGUCGCAAUUCAUUUAGCAUGGAAUAAAAAAAUAUUUGAUGCUCAUUAUCAAUUAAGUCGUUAUAUUUUCUUAAAAAGUUUUCUAAAUUUUUCGGGAAAGACAUUUUAUUUUAUUUUUUUUGUACCUUUUAAUAGUAGUGUCUCCUUAAUACUAAAUUAUAAAAUAUGUUCCCAUACUAGAAAAAGUGUGCAACUUGCAGUUUGUAGAACUAUAAAACCGCAAAAUAUUUACUGAUAGACACUUUCAUAUAUAUAUAUAUAUAAAUAUAUAUAUAUAUAUAUAUAUAUAUAUAUAUAUAUAUAUAUAUGAUAAGACUACUUGUCUCAAUAAAUAUAAAUUAGACACCCUUUCAGUGAAAACAUUUAGUGAAUUUUGUGAAGUGACUCUUGUUUCCCGUGCGAUAAAAAAAAAUUUUAAAUAGCAACACCAACCACUCAGUAAAAGAUUUAAAUUGUUUAAAGCAACUCUUGUUCCAUGUAAGGAUCUAAAAUUAAUCCUAAUUUUCAAUCACCAAAGGGUAAUAAGCUAAUAUAUUUCUAUAUCGCUACUUUUCUACUUUGUCCACUUAAGGAUAUAAAUUAAGUAUAAAUUAUGAAUCGAGCUCUUAAAGACUUGAAAUCAGUUUCUAGGGAAAGAGUCCGAAAACCAAUACUGAAGGUAAUUGAUUUACCAAUUCAUAAAAAAUUCAAAAUAAUAAAAGCUAUUAGGGUGAAGACAAAGUUUGGAGAGAAGGUGAUGAUAGAACUAGAUGAUAGUGUUCUUUUUCUUCCGCAUUCCUACAACGCUUUAGAGGAUUCAACUAUUGAUGCGUUAAAUAGUAAUACAUUUUAUAUAGAACUAGUUAAACCUUGUGAAAAAUUUAUUUCCCCAUCAUUUGAAUUUCAUACAGAAUAAAAAAAUUAAAAUGUA